CAAGAUGAUGUGGGCUGCGUUGGGGGUGCCAAUAGUAGAAUUUUCAAGAACAUUAUGUCUUGUUGAAUCUGUUUGCAGAUAGCGAGAUAGCAGCUAUGCCUCCCUAAUGCCAAAAAAAUUCUACGGUUGACUUUACUGAAAAGGUAAUUUAAACUUGAAAUUUGAAAAGAGCAAAGACCGGAGAAGUAUAACUAAAAAGAGGUGAGAUUUACAAUUACCAGGACCAGGUGGAUGAGAUAGAUCAGAAGACGUUGGGAGAUGUGCGGCAACCUUUUAUUCCUUUCUAUAAAUUCCCACAUAAACGAUGCUUGCCAAUAAUGAAACUCCAGCUAGUGCAACUGCUGAUGUUACAGCUAUUAUUUUAUCUGUUGAACCUGUAAGACACUAAUAUCAAAAUAGUUUAUACACUUAGUCGGUACAGUACUUCCCAUCAAUAAAUUGAAUUGAGAGCAAGAAGGGAUAAUGGAGAUAUCAACACAAAAGAAAGAGAAGGAAAAAUUAAUCCACACUUGUGGCAAGCUAGGGAAAAUAUGGAUGACCAAACAUGUUAAUAAUAUGCAAGUACGUGUUAAGAUAUGAUGCUCAAUGUAUAAUUACUUCAGAUAUGAAAACAGGUAGACUAUCUACAUCCAUUUUUUGUAUGUGUAUAUAUAUAUAUAUAUAAACACUUGAGCUACUGAUCCAUAUAGCAAAACAAAUUGAGAAGAAGCAAAGACCACCCCAAAUAAUGUAUAGAAAGAGAGAACCAACAACAAUAUUGACUUAGUUUCUCUCUGAACCUCUAAUGCAAGAUAUUCCAUGAGUUGUUGCGUGUUGCAGUCAAUCCAUGAAACAAUAAUAGCAUAUUCUUUACAUACGAUUACACCUCCCAUUUCCGAACUCUGCUAACAAUCAGAUCAUAUAUAUAAAAUACUUGAGCUACUAAUCCGUAUAACAGAACAAACUGAGAAGAAGCAUAGAUCACCCAAAAUAAUGUAAAAAAAAGGUAACAACCAACAAUGUUGACAUACUUUCUAUUUGAACCUCCAAUGAGAGAUCUUUCAUGAUUUGUUGCAUGUCAUAGCCAAUCCAUGAAAUAAUAAUAUCAUAUUUGUUACAUGAAGGUACAACUUCCUUUUUCGAACGCAGCUAACAAUAAUACCAUAGAUAAAAAUACUUGAGCUACUAAUCUGUAUAAUAGAACAAAUUGAGAAGAAGCGAAGAUCACCCAAAAUAAUGUAUGAAAAGAGAGAAUCAUUAACAAUAUUGACUUACUUUCUCUUGGAACCUCCAUUGCAAGAUCUUCCAUGAUUUGUUUAU
rnacentral:lncRNA from 1 species